rnacentral:tRNA from 1 species
GCAGCCGUGUGGCGAGGACGUUGGGCCACCGCCGGUUCGCAUCCGUCGUGGACUUGUCGCCGUCGGUGAUCGAGUCACCCAGCAGCACCA